rnacentral:rRNA from 1 species
UACGGAGGGUGCAAGCGUUGUCCGGAAUCACUGGGCGUAAAGGGCGCGUAGGCGGCUCAUGAAGGCUGUGGUGAAAGUCCGGGGCUCAACCUCGGAUCGGCCGUGGCGACUCGUGGGCUGGAGCACUGUAGAGGCGGGUGGAAUUCCGGGUGUAGCGGUGAAAUGCGUAGAGAUCAGGAGGAGCACCGGUGGCGAAGGCGGCCCACUGGGCUGUCACUGACGCUGAGGCGCGAAAGCUCGGGGAGCGAACGGG